UACAUCGGCCGGGAAUCGCACCCGCCAGCGUGGCAGGCGAGCAUUCUACCACUGAACCACCGAUGG